rnacentral:rRNA from 1 species
UACGUAGGAGGCGAGCGUUGUCCGGAAUUACUGGGUGUAAAGCGCGUGUAGGCGGCCUGCCAAGUCUGCUGUGAAAGCGCCUGGCUUAACCGGGCGAGGUCGGUGGAAACUGGCGGGCUGGAGGCCGGUAGAGGGGGGUGGAAUUCCCGGUGUAGUGGUGAAAUGCGUAGAGAUCGGGAGGAACACCAGUGGCGAAGGCGGCCCCCUGGGCCGGGCCUGACGCUGAGGCGCGAAAGCUAGGGGAGCAAACGGG